GGCACAGUGGCAGUGGUUAGCGCUGCCGCCUUGCAGCGGCAAGGUCCUGGGUUCGAAUCCAACCUGGGGCU